UUCACAUGCGAUUUACGUGAAGAAAUUAUGGGCAGCUUGGAAAUAGUAGAGAGCCAUUCUUGUCUAAUAUGCAAAAGCAAUUUUUGACGAAAAUCUUUAUUUUUAUCCUCAUAUAUAUCAUGUAUAGAUAAUGGAGACAUUGUAUGUUGAAGUGAUGUGAAUAUUUAAGAGAGAAUCAGAAUAUUACGAUCAUACGGCAAGAUGAAAAAACGAUGGAUAAACUGAUGGCAAGAAGUCAACGAAGAACAAAAGAUACACAACUAAGACAUUCAGUUCAAAUGAGUUACAUGAAUACUGAUGAAAAUUUGAAAGAAAUUGCCUAGAGUGACUUAUGUGACAAGAAAAUUUCUAUAUAAUUCUCUUGAUGUCGCAGGUUUUUUCUAAGCCAUUUCUUUCAAACUAUUUAUCCCACCAUUCAUACUAUUUAUCACUACGUUGCAUUUAGGCCGCAGCCUAUACAAUAAAUGUCCUUGUUUAGUCCCUAAGUAUACUCUAGUGAAGAGUGCAAAAGAAAGUGAAAGAAUCUCUAUGAGUUUUAUGUGGAUUGUUCAGCGGAGAAGCUGUCAAGUGGGGCGGCAAGUCAGUCGGAGAAGAAUGGUUUUUAUGAGUCAUUAAACUUUUUGCGACACAUUAUUAAGAAGAGAAUACAAGAAAAAAAUUUUUUUAUAAUAAUUUUCAGAAAAUAUGUUAAAAGCAUUGCAAGUGUAUCGAAUACGCCAGUCUCUAACAACUAUAUAAAUAUCGAAGACGAAGAAGAAAAAGAGGAAGAAUCUGCACAAGAUGAUAUCCCUAAGAAGCAGGAAGCAAAGGA